CCUACGGGAGGCUGCAGUGAGGAAUAUUGGUCAAUGGGCGUAAGCCUGAACCAGCCAAGUCGCGUGAGGGAUGAAGGUUCUAUGGAUCGUAAACCUCUUUUAUGAGGGAAUAAAGUGCGGGACGUGUCCCGUUUUGUAUGUAACUUAUGAAUAAGGAUCGGCUAACUCCGUGCCAGCAGCCGCGGUAAUACGGAGGAUCCGAGCAUUAUCCGGAUUUAUUGGGUUUAAAGGGUGCGUAGGCGGCCUUUUAAGUCAGCGGUGAAAGUCUGUGGCUCAACCAUAGAAUUGCCGUUGAAACGGGGAGGCUUGAGUAUGUUUGAGGCAGGCGGAAUGCGUGGUGUAGCGGUGAAAGGCUU
rnacentral:rRNA from 1 species